CUCUACUAAAAAUAUAAAAAUUAGCUGGACAAGGUGGCGCAUGCCUGUAAUCCCAGCUACUCAGGAAGCUGAGGCAGGAGAAUAGCUUGAACCUGGGAGGAGGAGGUUGCAGAGAGCCCAGGUCGCGCCAUUGUACUCCGGCCUGGGGCACAAGAGUGAAACUCCAUCUCCAAAAAAAAAAAAAAAAAACCACAACAACAACGAGGGCCCCGCAUGUGGCUGAAAACAACAGAAAUGUAUUGUCUCACAGGCCUGGAUGCUAGAAGCCCAAAAUCAAGGUGCCGCCCGGGCUUCGCUUCCUCUGAAACAU
rnacentral:lncRNA from 1 species